AUAGCUAAGAAUAACUGGAGAAGCCGAGAAAUCUUUAACCUAAACAUGUAUUCUAAACGAGUUUAAUUGUUAACCUUAGUAGAUAAGCCGAUUCUUAUUACACACCUAUAAACCAGGCUCAUCAAAUAAUAGAUCCAACUACAGAUACCUAUGGUGGGCAUAUCUAUUGU
rnacentral:sRNA from 1 species